rnacentral:lncRNA from 1 species
CAACAGGCAAAUGUGGAAUUGCAAUUGAGGCCUCUUAUCCUAUAAAAAAUGGUCAAAAUCCCCCUAAUCCUGGCCCCUCUCCUCCAUCUCCAAUAAAGCCUCCUACUGUUUGCGAUAAUUAUUACAGCUGUCCUGAAAGCAAUACCUGCUGCUGUGUCUACGAGUACUAUGGCUACUGCUUUGCUUGGGGGUGCUGCCCACUUGAGGCUGCCACUUGCUGUGACGACCACUACAGCUGCUGUCCUCAUGACUAUCCUAUCUGCAACUUAAAUGAAGGCACCUGCUUGAUGGUAUGAUGAAAGGAUGAUUUUGCUGCAUUUUGUUGUUUGAAUAGCAUAUGAUCAUAUGUUUUUGGCCUAUAAGUCAUUAAUGUUUUUGUUGCUUGCUUGAAUUCGUUUUGCAGAGCAAGGGUAACCCAAUGGCAGUGAAGGCACUGAGGCGCACUCCUGCUACGCCUUUCUGGGCCCAUGGAAGUGUUGGCGUAAAGAACAAUGCUUAAGGAGAAGCCUGGGAUUUUAUGCAGAAAAUGAUAUUACAGGGAGAAGGGAACAGUGCUUGACCGAUCUCCUUUGUUUUGUC